rnacentral:rRNA from 1 species
AGUGAACGCUGGCGGUAGGCCUAACACAUGCAAGUCGAACGGCAGCACAGUAAGAGCUUGCUCUUACGGGUGGCGAGUGGCGGACGGGUGAGGAAUACAUCGGAAUCUACUUUUUCGUGGGGGAUAACGUAGGGAAACUUACGCUAAUACCGCAUACGACCUACGGGUGAAAGCAGGGGAUCUUCGGACCUUGCGCGAUUGAAUGAGCCGAUGUCGGAUUAGCUAGUUGGCGGGGUAAAGGCCCACCAAGGCGACGAUCCGUAGCUGGUCUGAGAGGAUGAUCAGCCACACUGGAACUGAGACACGGUACAGACUCCUACGGGAGGCAGCAGUGGGGAAUAUUGGACAAUGGGCGCAAGCCUGAUCCAGCCAUACCGCGUGGGUGAAGAAGGCCUUCGGGUUGUAAAGCCCUUUUGUUGGGAAAGAAAAGCAGCAGGUUAAUACCCCGCUGUCCUGACGGUACCCAAAGAAUAAGCACCGGCUAACUUCGUG